rnacentral:rRNA from 1 species
UACAGAGAGUGCGAGCGUUAAUCGGAAUUACUGGGCGUAAAGCGCACGUAGGUGGAUUCUUAAGUCGGAUGUGAAAUCCCUGGGCUUAACCUAGGAAUUGCAUUCGAUACUGGGUAUCUUGAAUAUGGUAGAGGGAAGUGGAAUUUCCGGUGUAGCGGUGAAAUGCGUAGAUAUCGGAAGGAACAUCAGUGGCGAAAGCGGCUUCCUGGACCAAUAUUGACACUUAGGUGCGAAAGCGUGGGGAGCAAACAGG